rnacentral:rRNA from 1 species
UACGUAGGGUGCAAGCGUUAAUCGGAAUUACUGGGCGUAAAGCGUGCGCAGGCGGUUAUAUAAGACAGAUGUGAAAUCCCCGGGCUCAACCUGGGACCUGCAUUUGUGACUGUAUAGCUAGAGUACGGUAGAGGGGGAUGGAAUUCCGCGUGUAGCAGUGAAAUGCGUAGAUAUGCGGAGGAACACCGAUGGCGAAGGCAAUCCCCUGGACCUGUACUGACGCUCAUGCACGAAAGCGUGGGGAGCAAACAGG